CUAAACAGUUCCGUAGUAUAACAUAGGUACGAUGUCAUGGCUCCUGAUUUUACGUAUACAAGCGAGCUGAUAAAAUACAUCAUGGAGAUAAUCAAUUUGAACAUAAAGGAAAGAGCAGCUGGAUGGUGUUCAUGGAGAGCAGCAGAAAAAAUGAUACUAAGACAGAUAUUAAGCUUCUUUAAUUGUUACGACGCAGGAUGAAAUUCAGAUACUAUGGUGAGAUAUGUUUACAUCUAUCCGGUUUUAAUCGAUAUGCAAGCUACAUGGAAACAGAUGAACUCGUCAUUUUGUCUCUGAAUUCCUGCUGUUACAGACAGUUUUGUUUGUAUUUUUGAAGAGACCUGGGACUUUCAGAUGAUGGGAAAUUUAUAUUUUCUCUGAAUCAACUUACUAUUGAGAACAGAUUGUUCAAAACCCCAUACCCUUUUUGUGAAAAUAAAUUUACACACUAAUUACUGCACAUAUUAACACAAAGCGC